GUGAGAAUCUGCCUUCAGGAUGGGGACAACAGUUGGAAACGACUGCUAAUACCCAAUGUGCCGAAAGGUGAAAAUAUUUUGCCUGAAGAGGAGCUCGCGUCUGAUUAGCUAGUUGGUGGGGUAAAAGCUUACCAAGGCAACGAUCAGUAGCUGGUCUGAGAGGAUGAGCAGCCACACUGGGACUGAGACACGGCCCAGACUCCUACGGGAGGCAGCAGUGGGGAAUUUUCCGCAAUGGGCGAAAGCCUGACGGAGCAAUACCGCGUGAGGGAGGAAGGCCUUUGGGUUGUAAACCUCUUUUCUCAGGGAAGAAGUUCUGACGGUACCUGAGGAAUAAGCAUCGGCUAACUCCGUGCCAGCAGCCGCGGUAAUACGGAGGAUGCAAGCGUUAUCCGGAAUUAUUGGGCGUAAAGCGUCCGCAGGUGGUCUUUCAAGUCUGCUGUCAAAGACUGGAGCUCAACUCCGGAAAGGCGGUGGAAACUGAGAGACUAGAGUUCGGUAGGGGUAGCGGGAAUUCCCAGUGUAGCGGUGAAAUGCGUAGAUAUUGGGAAGAACAUCGGUGGCGAAGGCGCGCUACUGGACCGAAACUGACACUCAGGGACGAAAGCUAGGGUAGCGAAAGGGAUUAGAUACCCCU
rnacentral:rRNA from 1 species